rnacentral:misc_RNA from 1 species
UAAUUAUGAAUUUAUUAUUUAUUUCAUAAUAAUAGUAUGUCUAGGAGAUUUUAGAAAAUAAAUGUAAAUAAGUCUUCAAUUUUGUAUUUAUUCCAAACAUGAUUUUGUGGAAUUUAAUUCAAAUAAAUAUUUUAAAUUUCAGCAUAUCAAAUAUGAAAAUUCAUUUGCAAAUGAAUUCACUUAAAUUCAUUUACAAAUGAAUUCUACAUUUUGAAUUUCAGCAUGCCAAAUGGAUUUACCCUGCUCUCUAUGCUAUAGACAUGUUUUCACUGAACCUACAAUUCUGAUUAGCAAAUUAUGCAGUACUGCUGGUG